GCCCCUGUAACUCAGUUGGUUAGAGUGCGGUGCUUAUAACGCCGAAGUCGCGAGUUCGAUCCUCGCCAGGGGCA
rnacentral:tRNA from 1 species